rnacentral:rRNA from 1 species
GAUGAACGCUGGCGGCGUGCCUAAUACAUGCAAGUCGAGCGAACGGACGAGAAGCUUGCUUCUCUGAUGUUAGCGGCGGACGGGUGAGUAACACGUGGAUAACCUACCUAUAAGACUGGGAUAACUUCGGGAAACCGGAGCUAAUACCGGAUAAUAUUUUGAACCGCAUGGUUCAAAAGUGAAAGACGGUCUUGAUGUCACUUAUAGAUGGAUCCGCGCUGCAUUAGCUAGUUGGUAAGGUAACGGCUUACCAAGGCAACGAUGCAUAGCCGACCUGAGAGGGUGAUCGGCCACACUGGAACUGAGACACGGUCCAGACUCCUACGGGAGGCAGCAGUAGGGAAUCUUCCGCAAUGGGCGAAAGCCUGACGGAGCAACGCCGCGUGAGUGAUGAAGGUCUUCGGAUCGUAAAACUCUGUUAUUAGGGAAGAACAUAUGUGUAAGUAACUGUGCACAUCUUGACGGUACCUAAUCAGAAAGCCACGGCUAACUACGUG